CUUUGCAAUAAAGAUCCUCUGAUCCGAUGGCACCACACUGUUGAGAGUCAUUCUCCUAAGUCCUGGCUCAAAGGUAUCUCCACCUGAUCUCACCCUCAGUUCAUCAGUCUCCCUUUUAUAUUUUACCAUUAAUUUCUGUCUUCUCUAUGCUUUCCUACUCAUCUAUUUACAGUUUUGAAGUAGAAGUUAUUUAUUUAUUUUUUGUUCAGCACCCUUAUUAAUUGCUUGCUGUGUGCCAAGUGUUGUGCUGUCAUGGGAGGGGCCCGAGAAAUUCCUCAGAUUUGCUACUGCCAGGUCCCAGCCAAAAGAUGGGCAGGUGUUGGAGUUCCCAUCAUGGCUCAGUGGUUAAUGAAUCCGACUAGGAACCAUGAGUUGUGGGUUCGAUCCUUGGCCUUGCUCAGUGGGUUAAGGAUCCGGCCUUGCUGUGAGCUGUGGUGUAGGUGGCGGACGCGGCUCGGAUCCCGCGUUGCUGUGGCUCUGGCGUAGGCUGGGGGCUACAUCUCCCAUUUGAUCCCUAGCCUGGGAACCUCUAUAUGCCAUGUGAGUGGCCCAAAAAAAGGCAAAAAAAAAAAAAAAAAAAAAAAAAAAAAAGAUGGGCAGGUGUUUUCCAGGACCUACAGGGGCCUGGAGGCAUCAAACAGCCUGGCAGUGGCUAGGAGCUGGGAGCUGGUAGCAUCUUAGUAGGUCACUAGGUCUGAAGCAUGUGGCAGAGUGGAACAAGCUAAGGGAAUGAUGCGGAGUAUUGGAGAUGGACCAGGAAAGGUCAUACAGAAUUCUACUAGGGACUUAGAAUGUCUUUGUGAGGGUCUUAGUGAGUCAUUUAAGGGUUUCACGGUAGAAGUGGACUAAGUUGGUUUUUAUGUUUGAGUCAGACCACAGGUUUUCAGGUUAAGGAUCAGUCAGUAGGGAAGAGGGCGGGGUGAGGAACUCUGAGAAAUGAUGAGAUUGUGUCAUCAGGGAUCUGAGAGAUAAAAGGAGAGAGCCCGUGGGAAUUCAUUACCAUUAGUACAUGGAAAAGAAAGCAAAAUGAAUUGUCUGGGAUGAUCCCCAGGAUGAUUGAAGAUGGCAUUGCAUUUAAUUUAAAAUGAGUAAAUGAGGAAUGGUGGGUUGGUUGUAAAGAUAAAAAAUUUGGACUUGAACCUAUUAAGACAUGGUAGUGUUUUAUCCAUAUUUUUUACACCCUUUAAACUUUAUGCUCCUUGAACACAACCUUUGUCUGUAAUUAAUCCUUGUACCUCCCUGUUCCUACCUAAAUGUUUUGGAACAGAAGGGCUUUCAAGGUAGGGAAUACAUUGUAGGACAAGCUAUUUCUUGCUAUAUGUACUCUUUUUUCCUUUACACUUGAUCUGUGAUUACAAGGAUAGAUCGGGUGAGAAGAAACACAUAUGGUCACACAGUAAUCAGGACUUGAUAUAUAAAAGAGAAAAAUGUGGUACCAUAUGGUUAAGGUACCUUGAACAUUUUUCUUUUUUUUUUUUCUCCCUUCUUUUUUUGUUUUAAGGGCUGCACCCCUGUGGUGUAGGUCACAGAUGCAGCUCGGAUCCUGCAUUCCUGUGGCUGUGGCAUAGGCCAGAGGCUACAGCUCUGAUUAGACCCCUAGCCUGGGAACCUCCAUGUGCUGUGGGUGUGGACCUAGAAAAGACCAAAAAAAAAAAAAA
rnacentral:lncRNA from 1 species